rnacentral:rRNA from 1 species
UACGGAGGAUCCAAGCGUUAUCCGGAUUUAUUGGGUUUAAAGGGUGCGUAGGCGGGCCAUUAAGUCAGGGGUGAAAGUUUGCAGCUUAACUGUAAAAUUGCCUUUGAAACUGUUGGUCUUGAGUGUAAAUGAGGUAGGCGGAAUGUGUUGUGUAGCGGUGAAAUGCUUAGAUAUAACACAGAACCCCGAUUGCGAAGGCAGCUUACUGGGAUACAACUGACGCUGAUGCACGAAAGCGUGGGGAUCAAACAGG